GAAGAAUCUUUUCUUCUUGCUGAGACUAAUUUAGAAUCACUUCCUGUGGAAGUUGAAGAUGCAAGCCCUGCAAGCUAUUUGGCAUAUAAAGGUCCUGACCUGAGAAAACCAUCUUGGAUAACCAGGGCAAGGAGAAGGAAAAAUGCAACACCUAGGAGAUUUCAGUAAACAGUAGAAUCAUGCCAACCUAAUCUGUGUUAAAAUGCUUGGAAUGUGGGAGCCGCUGAUGAUGCCUGUUGUCUGUGUGUCUGACUGAAUCCUUUCUUUUCUCAGAGCAGCAAAGCAAAGCCUGGGAACCAGGCCAAAUGCCUGCCACUUACCUUAAAUUGAUCAGCCACUUUGAGAUUAAAACCCCUGAAAGCUGCCACACCGUGAAAACAAGGCCUCCUUCACAUUAAAGGCAAAUUGCGACUUUGA